ensembl:lncRNA
AAAUGGCAAUAGCGUAACAAAUGGCAACAGUGUAACAUGUGGCAAAAAUGUAACAAAUGGCAAUAGCGUAAAACAUAGAAAAAGGUUUAACAAUGCAACUAAUCGACUUUUUUUAAACAAGGGAGGACGGUUUUAUAUUUACUCCGUAUACCCUAUGUUUUAUAUUAAUCCGUGUACAAAAUAUAUUAAAACCAAAAAAAAUAUAUAUAUCUCAGAAAAUAUGAAGAUUUGUAUAAAAAAUUUACACCAGAAUUAGUAGAAGAAAAUGAUGAUACAAAUAAUGAAUUCAAUGAAAACAAACUUUCAAGUAGCACAUUAAUCGAUUGGUGUUUAGAAAAAAAAAAAUUUCCAAAAAAAGUAUAAUAUGACUUUAAUGUAUGACUAUAUAUCGAAUUUGCAUAAUAAUGAAUACCAAAAUGUAAGGAGUGUAACUAAUUUUAUAAAAAAUAACGAAGUAAUUAAUAAAGAAGAAUGGGAAAAUAAUAAAUGGCCAUAUUUAACAUAUAAAUAUAUAUUUAAAUAUAAAAAUCCUAUAACUAAAAAAAAUGAUUACUAUACGUAUGAGUAUGUAAUUCCAAAAUUAAUAACAUAUGAUGAAGAUAUUUCUACCGAAUCGAAAUUUGUUACUCCUGAUUAUGAUACACAUAAGGUUUAUGAUCAUUCACCAAUAAAUUCUUUAACAAUUACUGGAUUUAGUGCUCGUAACAUUGAUACUUUUGGAAAAGAAAGAAAUAAAAUUUAUUCAUUCAAUACACCAACUGAUAUUAAAAGAAAUAUAUAUUUUAAUAAUUUAAUGCGAAUAUCUUCAUGUUGUAAUCAUUAUUUAUUUCCAAAUAUAUUGUUUCUGUUGAAUCUACAUACACUUCAAAUUUUAAUAAGAGAUAAAACCGCAGUUGAAACUGAUUAUGUGAUUGAUAAAUUUGAUAAACUUCGAGAUAAACUAAUUCAAACAAAUAUAGAUCAUGUUGAAAAAAAUGAAAAAUAUACUCAUAAUAGUGCUACUACUACUACUACUACUACUAUUUCCGAUACCUUGACAAAUAAAACAUAUGAUAACGAAAUUAAUAAAAUCAAUACUUAUGCAGAAACAUAUAAAAACUCAGACCAAACAGAACAAAAAGAUGUUGAUGAAUAUGACGAAAUGGACAAAGAAAUAUUAAGACACUUAACCCAUAAAAAAAGUUUAUUUGAUAGUCAAAUGCAAGUUUUUAAAAACAAAUACGACGAAAAAAAUAUUUUACAAGAUUAUGAAUUUAUUAAUUUAUGGAAAUAUAAUAAAAACGCAAAUAUAGUAGAAACAUUAAAUAAUAUACCAUUACCAAAAAUUUAUAUAAAUAUUGAUGAUCCAAAAUAUUGUCUUUGGAAAAUUUUACAACACUCAGGAAUGACAGCAUUUUCAGAAAUACCAACUCCUAACAGAAAAUUAGAAGCAUGGCGACAGCAAGUAAAUUUAAAACAGUUUUAUAAACAAAACUUCGAUACUAGCAUAAGUUUAAAAACAUAUUCAAAAAAAGAUAUACAUCAGUAUCAAAUGAAAAUAUUAAAUAAGCCUUAUGACAAAAACAAAACUGUUAGUACGCUUAAUGAAGACCAAAAUCGGAAUCAAACGCAUGAACAGAAGCAAGAGCAAGGGGAAGAUGAUUUAUAUAAUUAUAAAGACGAUUAUAACAACGAUUAUAACAACGAUUAUAACAACGAUCAUAACAACGUCCAUAACAACGUCCAUAACAACGUCCAU